AUGCAGAUGGCGAGUUCCAAAUGGGACGAAACGCGUGUCCUGCAU
rfam:Schistosoma rodhaini strain Burundi genome assembly, scaffold: SROB_scaffold0015706